CCCUUAGAUGUUCUGGGCCGCACGCGCGCUACACUGACGAAUGCAACGAGCUUAUAACCUUGGCCGAAAGGUCUGGGUAAUCUCCAAAUUUCGUCGUGAUGGGGAUAGAUUAUUGCAAUUAUUAAUCUUCAACGAGGAAUGCCUAGUAAGCGCAAGUCAUCAGCUUGCGUUGAUUACGUCCCUGCCCUUUGUACACACCGCCCGUCGCUCCUACCGAUUGAAUGGUCCGGUGAAAUCUCGGGACGGCGGCUUGGUCGCUUGCGUCCGACUGCUGAAACUUGAUUAAACCAUNUNAUUUAUNGGAAGGUGAANUCGUANCA
rnacentral:rRNA from 1 species